GACCUUAGUUCGCCUACAGAAUCGGAGAACAUCCCACCUGGACAGGCUUAGCUCCUUGUACUGCUUUACGAACUAGUUGCAGUUCCCACUGAUUUCAUCCGGAGCCUCCAAUUAGUUUCAAUAGGAUCCUGAAAGGGCUUGUCUACACAUGGAGUUGUUCCCGAAUAAUUGUAGCUGAUUAACUUUCCAAGCGAGUUAAACUAAAAGCAAGAACAAGGCACUGUUAUUCCAGAAUAUAGCCUGUCCACACCACACGUGGAGUUAUCAGGAUCAGCUAAUCAGGAACAACUCCAACUCCAUAUCCCCUUAGGGAUUUUUCUGUAGAGAAGACACAAACCCGUGACAGACACUUCGUUCAUUUUCUGAAGACCUGCUGAAACAUCUCAAGAUUUACAGCACAAGUAGAAGGAAGCAUCCAGCACCUGGAAAUAUCGAAUGCAGCUCAUUUUAUGUUGUUUGGUUGAAGACAAGUCACAGAAGCGAAUUGGAACAGCUUGAAAGAAAACUCCCAACAGCCCUCAAGACAAGAAUGCAUGUUCCCCAAACUGAACAAGUCUUGCAGUAUUAAUUUACGACUAUUCUUUUAAACGUCA